rnacentral:rRNA from 1 species
UACGUAGGUGGCGAGCGUUGUCCGGAUUUACUGGGCGUAAAGAGCGCGCAGGCGGUCGUUCAAGUCGCGUGUGAAAGCCCCCGGCUCAACUGGGGAGGGUCACGCGAUACUGAUCGACUCGAAGGCAGGAGAGGGUAGUGGAAUUCCCGGUGUAGUGGUGAAAUGCGUAGAUAUCAGGAAGAACACCAAUGGCGAAAGCAGCUCUCUGGGACGGUACUGACGCUGAGACGCGAAAGCGUGGGGAGCGAACAGG